ensembl:lncRNA
UGAUUCUCUGUUCGCUUUCCUGUGUAUGUGUUUACCAUUUUACUUCUCUCUCUGUCUUCCUGACUUCAGGGGUGGGAGAUGGGGUGACAUUUCCAAUUUGCAGGGUUUUCUUCCAUCUUCAUCCAACUCUCAGGAUGAUUACGAGGAUUUGGUUGUUGAGGAGUGGUGAACACCUAUGUGCAAUUUGAAUAACUAUUAGCCCUGCGAACGUCUAGCGAAGCAUGUGACCAAGAAGUUCAGGACCAGGGUUCAUGACUGGAGCCCCUUGGUAAGUGCGCCCUUUCUAAACGUUAUAUGUGAUGUGAUUACAGCAGCAUGAUGUUCUUUUGUGUCGAGGGUGGGUUUGAGGCACCGCAGACAGCCCAGGACGUUGAGUUCAUCGACUGAACUGAAACAACAGGCUGAAAUCGUCCCUGGUUCCUCCCUCCUGCAAAUGACUUUCAGAUUUGUCGCAGCUGCCUGUGUUCUCAGCGCUCUCCUGGCUCCGUGCGGUCCCUGAAGAGGCCAUUGCACAUCUUGCCGCACACGUCCUGUAGCCCUACCUUUGUGCAGUCUUCCCUCCUCAGUAAAAUGUUCUCAGCGCACAAAAGCAGCCGCUGAAGGGAACAGCUCCGGGCAGAGUGGGAGGGAGCUUGCCGGCUGCAGCGCGGCUGCACCAUCUCCAGUGGAAACGGACGCUGCUCACCCUGCGUAGGAAACUAAUGGAGCGUCCCUAAGAAACCCAAACUCCAGCCUGGCUCACCCCAGCUUUCUCCCCCACCUCCAGACCCCCAGGUGUAAGUCCCCCUGCUACACAAAAGAAAAGAUGACCACAGCCACCUCUUUCCGCCUGCAAACUCCACAGAGCGCUGCUUUUAGGAUGAAGACAUCAAAACUUCAGCUCAGCAGAGGGAAGAGGAAGGAGGAAAAAAGAAGCCCAAGGCAGUGAAUUGGAGAAGCCAAUCAGCCCCUUUCUCAUUGUAGGCUUUCAGCCUGAAGCAGAAGCAAGCUGAGAGGGGAGGAGAUUUACUGCUAAGUCAAGCCCAGAGUUAUAAUUAUUAUACUGAAUUGAACAUUUUAGUUUCUGAAUCAGUCUGUUUUUCAUCCAGGCACAGGGAAACAUUACUACUGCUAAAUAAAGCCUAAUGGAACAGUGGGAGGCAAAAAUAAAGUUGUGUUUUGAUUACAUUAUGAUAUAUAUGAGCUUGAGUAACAACGCAAUUUCACAUGCAGUGCUAGCUUUGUAGGAAAGGAAGGAAAUGUCCAAUGGUGCAAAAAAAAGAAUAGUUUGUUGAAAUUUGAGUAGGAGAUGCAGUGAGCAGUAAGCAAAUGCAGUCAGGAGACUAAGCUUUGUGCCCAAUGCAAGGCGAGUGAACGGAACCUGAGACUCCUAUGUUAGUUCAGACCCUGGAAGGAGGACAAGCUCGUUCCAGGUCUAGCAUUCCCUGGCCCCCUGCAGAAGCAAGGGAACACCUGCUCUGGAGGAAGGCAACCUCAAUUGGCCCUCAGGAUUCCCAUAGUAGAUUAAGAUCUACCAGAUACAAAUUCACAAAGAUCACCAAAGUGACAGAAGAAAAAGUCUCUGUCUCACCAUGAGCACACUUGGCAGAAACAGUAAACAAAGGAUUUGGAGCCCUAAUGAAUUCAGAUUUUGGAAUUAUCAGAUGUAGAAUAUCAAAUGAUUAUGUAUGAAAUGUUUAAAGAAAUAACCUCGUAUCUCCCAGAAAUGAGAAAGCAAUAAGGAACUGUCCAAAAUAA